GCUCGCUUGGUUCAAUGGUUAGAAUCUCCGCUUCCCAUGCAGACGCGCUGUCCUAGCGGAGGAUCCGAGUUCGAUUCUCGGGGCGAGCA